GUAAACUUAAUCACCAGGUGUGCUGGGACCAAGUCUCACACAUAUGAUGAAUCAUGGCACAGGAUCGAAUGUCACAUCUUUACUAUAUAAUAGGAGUUCUAUACAAAAUAAAUAAUUACAUUAUAAGGAGACAACGGUCCAGCAACCCAAAGUUGACUGGGGGACGACGGCCUAGACCACUCACGAACUCAUCGCAGCAUCCUCCAAGCGCCUCAUCCUGCGGUACCUGUUCUUGACCUGUGGGGGGUUGUGAGACAGCAAGAGUGAGCUCACAUACGUUCAUCGCUCAACAAGUUAUGGGGAAUAAUGUGCAUGAGCUCGCCAAAGGUGGGAGCUCACGUGAAGUGUAAGGCUUACCAAAGAGGAUGGUUAGAGCUGAGCAUUGCUUCUAAAGUUGGUCAAAGUUUUAUUAGCAAUUACUAAGUAUAAGUAAAUACCAACCCAAUUAAGCAGUAGAACAAAAGUAACAACAUCACCUGCGAUGCAAUGCAUAUGACAAAUUGAAUUUAGUUCCAUAAAUUAAUCAUGUGAGGGUCCGAGCUGCUCAUGACCGUGAGCACGGCUAGUAUACCAGUUUUACACUCUGCAGAGGUUGCGCAUCUUUACCCACAAGUCAUGUUACCCAUCUGCCAAGGGAUCGCGACUUCCCAUACACCUCUACCGAGGAGGCGAGGCAGGGUAACACUACGAGGCCUUUACAAAGUUCCACUAGCUUCAGAAAACCCGCUACAGUUUAUAGGAAGCUCCAAUGCAGGAAUCCCUUGUAGGACCGCCAUCGCAGCAAAAUCCUCCCGAGGGCCUCCCUACACUGACCACUCCCCUACUGCCCUUGCCCCUUUCGGGUAAGGUAGUCCUCCACUAGCUUUCCUAAUUAAUCAGCCAAGGGUGUCCCAUUAUACCCUUGUGGUAGCACUGUUUUCCCGGGUGGUCGCUCCAUGUUCCAAUUAACAUAAUGAUCUUAUCAUGAACAAUGAUAAUAAACAGAUAAUAAAAGUGUGAUCAUGAAUAAUGUAUCUUCAUACCCAAAACCACAUAAAGCACUAGCAAGUACUACCCAAAAAGUUCAGUGGUAAACAAGGUAUAAAGAUAAUCAAACUAGGGUAACCUAUUGGGUCCCAUCAAAAUUAACCUAUGCAGAUCAUUAUGAUUAAUCAGAACAUGAGUAGGUAAAAAGAAGUGAUCAAGGGCACAACUUGCCUGGCACUUGAGAUUCCAGGUACCAACUUGCCUUUCAGAUGACACGUGUCCUCGCGCUAGUCGUAGCAAUACAAACAAACAUGGUAUAGAUAAAAUUAACAUUACACCAAACAUAAGAACAAACUGAAUAAUAAUGAUCUACGCGUUUCUAUGAGACUAACGCAACUUAAACGGAUCAAAUCGGAGUUAAAACGAAGGUGUUAUGAAUUUCUAAGGACUUUAUGUGUUUUCUACAAGAUUAAAUAGGAUAUAGAUUUUAUCGUGACAUUCUUGUCAAAACAGUGGUACAAAAUGAUAAACAAUAAUAGUACAAAAUUAUAGAAAUUGGAAUGACUAAAUUUUGGACUGAGUAUGCAUUUUCUAUGAAUUAAACACACUCUAGUAUUUAUUUUUGCAUUAAAAAGUAUUUUCCAAAUGAAUUUAUUUGAUUUUCUAACUAUCUGGACCGAGCACUAAAUCUAUAAAAACACGAGGGCAAAAACAUAAGUGUUCCCUAGACUCAGCCCAACCCUAGGGUGGACGACGGGUUCAAAUUCUGGCAAGUGGAGGGGCUCUUUAGAAACGUUGCAGCGCCAAAGGGGUAUGAGGGUAUCUGAGCUGUCCGAUCUCGGCUGAACGGCCCAGAUUAGAAACACAUCCAUCCGAACGGGUACGCAAUCUCAGUCGAUGGAUUCGCGACCAAUGGCUCAGAUUCGACAUACGCGGUAUCAAACUCUAGACGCUGGAUCCGAAUCCAACGCUCCUAGUUAAUUCAGCCGAAACGGCACCACGAGCUGAUCCUAGCCGUUAACUCCCAAUCUGACGGCUAUCCAAUCCUCGUCACCGCCCGAUACCUGAGCUGUCGCGGCCGCGACGGAUGGUGGCGGUCUUCCCCCCUUCCGGCGAGCAAUUGCCAACGAAACAGACCCCAAAUUUCAUCCCGGCAAGACCUACUCGAUGAUUACGGUCUAGUGAAUUGGGGAAGACGAAGAUUACCUGCUAAUAUUCGACGUUGAGCCCAGGUCACAAUGCGCAGCGGACAUGCGGUCAGAUGCAACACCGACGACAAAUUCCCCGGACCCUAGCGACUAAUCCUUGGUGGCGGGUCCUCGAUUUUAUAGCCCCGAGGUAAGUCCGCGUGGGCGCCAGGAUUUCAGCCGGGGAGGUUGGAGGUCAGGUCGCGAGCGGGAGCGAGGAUUGCGGGCGCCGUUCGACCGAGUCAAGCGCGAUUUCUGCGCGCUUCCGUGCGAGUCCGUAGCGUGGCUGGGGAAGAAGACCCGUGGCCCGUGGGUCCCACCGGUCAUAUGGCACAGAGAGGGGGUUCCGCGCGGAGGGAGGUGGACUGCCACUGGCGAGGAUCUCGGGCGUUUCUGUUGUCGCCGCGUGCAGAGUCUGGAGCUUGCCCGAGUCACGCGGACGCAGCGAAGAAAGGGGAAGGGAUAGAGCUGACGUGCGGGACCGACGAUCCAGUGUGAGUCAAGAGCGAGCGUGAGUCGGACGAGUGGGCCCCAGAUGUCAGUGGCCAGCAGAUCAGUGCGGAAAAAGAGCGCAGUUGCGCGUGGGGGAGCAAGGUGGGCCGCGCGGGUCCAAUGUGUAGAUGGGCCGGAAGUGAAGCGCGAGGCCCAUCUAACUGGGUUCGUCUUAUUCUUUUAUUUUCAAUUCUUCUUCUUCUUUUUUUUUUCUUUUAAAUCCAAAUUUGAAUUCAAAUCUCUGUUGUGAAUUUGUACUUUAGAUUAAAUAUUCAAACCAAAUAUUCCAAUAUGAAAAGGUACAUUUAUUUAUAUAUUUUUCUAUAUACCUUAUAUACUCUCUUUUUCCUCAAAUCCUCUUCUCGUUAUUAUUUUAUUUUUAUUCGUAUUAUGAUUGUUUUAAAUGCACAAGCAAAAAUCCAAUAUGAUGCAUUGGUUUAUUUGUGUCUUAAUAAAUAUUUACUCAUUUUGAAACAUGAGUAGUCACAUGUGAUGAUAAUUAGAGAUGCACUCACAUAUAUAAAGGAAACAAUUUCUUCUUUUAUUCUUCCUUACAAUUUGGGUAUUACAAAUCCUACCCCCCUUAAAAAUAAUCUCGUCCUCGAGAUUUGAAGAAAAGGGAUGCAACCAGUUUGGUUUAGGAAUCAAAAGUUUUGUUUCAUGUUUUUUUAUAGUAGCUAGUAGAUGAUUUGGAAAAUAUAGACAUAUACGUCUAGCCAUCUAUUAGGUCAAAUGAGGUACGAUUAUGGCAAGUAUAGAUAAUAGGUUGUGGCAAGGAAGAGUAUAAUAAGGAAAGACUUCAUCCUGAACUGUGGAUCUUGAUUCCGCUGGCGGUUCAACUUGAUCUUUGAAGUCUUGUGUUGAUGCUUAUCCUUCUUUGACAUGGUUGGUCUUCUUUGGCCUUUAUUUCUUGGAGUUGUCAUCCGAGUUAAGGACAUAUGGCUAGGACAUAUGUGAGUAGGAUGGAUUGUAUGGUGUAGGUAGGUUAGAAUCUCUUGCUAGGUUAAAAUUGUGGGGUUAUGCAACUAUUGGAUGGUUAAGGUAGUUGCAUAUGGCCAAGUCGAUCUGUCAUUCUUAAUUUAGUGCAGGGUGAACUAAGUUAAGACCCGUUCUAUAGGAGUAGAGUCUAAUCUAUUUCAUCAGUAUUAUCUAACAUGUUUGAUAAAUCACUUUAGAUUAGAUCAGAUCUAGGUUAGAUUGGUGUGACUAGUUUGACUAGAUAAGAUCUUAUUUAUUUUAGGCUAGAUCAUGGUUGUUACACUAGCGUGGGAUAAAUAUGCUUAUUGGGGUAAGAUGAAUCCAUAAGGAUAAGGUAGAAUCUCUUGAGGUCAGAUAGAUCUAUUAGGAUAAGAUAAAUCUUUUCAAAAUAAGAUGAGAAUCUAUUUUUUUAGGAUAAGAUGGAUCUAUGAGUGUAGGAUAGACUUUUUCAAGAUAAGAUGGAUUUUGCUAGGCUAGAUUCUUUGAUGAGGGAUAACCUAGUUUAUUUAGAUAUUUUUAUAACCGUUUUUUUUCUAUAUGUAUAUGCAGAUGUGAUUGUGGACAUUACUCCACAACUAAUCACACUCAAUCAAAGAUCCAAAUCAAACAAGUAUCAUAAGAACAAACAUUCAAGCAUACAAAUACCUAUAAAAAUAGUUUUGUUUUUGUUCCUAAGAGUAGGUCUCCUAUUCCUAAAGUCACUUUAGGCACAGGAUUUCAAAGUGUGAAAUCCACAUUUAUCUUUAGAAUGAAAAGGUAAGAAUAAUCAGAGUAAAGCGGAAAUAGAUGAGAAAAGAUUAAGAAAAGUUUAGAAAAGAAUCAGAGUAGCAAGGGUAAGUAAAGAAUGGUUGUCCAGUUCUAUCUAGGUUUCGUCCUACAGUCAACAUUCCUCUGAUACCACUUCUGUAACACCCGGGUUUUAGGGGUCCAAAGCCCGGGCGUAAACUUAAUCACCAGGUGUGCUAGGACCAAGUCUCACACAUAUGAUGAAUCAUGGCACAGGAUCGAAUGUCACAUCUUUACUAUAUAAUAGGAGUUCUAUACAAAAUAAAUAAUUACAUUAUAAGGAGACAACGGUCCAGCAACCCAAAGUUGACUGGGGGACGACGGCCUAGACCACUCACGAACUCAUCGCAGCAUCCUCCAAGCGCCUCAUCCUGCGGUACCUGUUCUUGACCUGUGGGGGGGUGUGAGACAGCAAGAGUGAGCUCACAUACGUUCAUCGCUCAACAAGUUGUGGGGAAUAAUGUGCAUGAGCUCGCCAAAGGUGGGAGCUCACGUGAAGUGUAAGGCUUACUAAAGAGGAUGGUUAGAGCUGAGCAUUGCUUUUAAAGUUGGUCAAAAUUUUAUUAGCAAUUACUAAGUAUAAG
rnacentral:lncRNA from 1 species